CAAAAACAGCCUAGGAAAAAGAUUCUUUGAUAACACCUCAUGUUUCUCGGUCAAGCACUCCCAGAGAGUCACCAUGUGGCAAAAUUGCUGUAGCUGUAUUAGAAGAAACCACAAGAGAGAGGACAGAUGUUAUUCAGGGUGAUGAUGUAGCAGAUGCAACUUCAGAAGUUGAAGUGUCUAGCACAUCUGAAACAACAACAAAAGCAGUGGUUUCUCCUGGAUUUAGUUUUAAUGCACCUUUGAAAAGUAACAAUAGUGAAACUAGUUCAGUAUCCCAGAGUGGAUCUGAAAGCAAAGUGGAACCUAACAAAUGUGAACUGUCAAAGAACUCUGAUAUGGAACAGUCUUCAGAUAGCAAAGUCAAAAAUCUCUUUGUUUCCUUUCCAACGGAAGAAUCUUCAAUCAACUACACAUUUAAAACACCAGAAAAGGAAUAUGAAAAGCAGUCAGAGCAACUGAAUGUGGAAAAAGAACUUGCUGAUAAUUUUGAACGUCAUAUUGAAGACCUUACAAGACAAUUAAGAAAUUCGACUUUGCAGUGUGAAAAAAUAAAUUCUGAUAAUGAAGAUCUCCUGGCUCGUAUUGAGACACUACAGUCUAAUGCCAAAUUAUUAGAAGUACAGAUUUUAGAAGUCCAGAGAGCCAAAGCAAUGAUAGACAAAGAAUUAGAAGCUGAAAAACUUCAGAAAGAACAGAAGAUAAAGGAACAUGCCACUACUGUAAAUGAACUUGAAGAACUUCAGGUACAACUUCAAAAGGAAAAGAAACAGCUUCAGAAAACCAUGCAAGAAUUAGAGCUGGUUAAAAAGGAUGCCCAACAGACCACAUUGAUGAAUAUGGAAAUAGCUGAUUAUGAACGUUUGAUGAAAGAACUAAAUCAAAAGUUAACUAAUAAAAACAACAAGAUAGAAGAUUUGGAGCAAGAAAUAAAAAUUCAAAAACAGAAACAAGAAACCCUACAAGAAGAAAUAACUUCAUUACAGUCUUCAGUACAACAAUAUGAAGAAAAAAACACCAAAAUCAAGCAAUUGCUUGUGAAAGCCAAAAAGGAACUGGCAGAUUCAAAGCAAGCAGAAACUGAUCACUUAAUAUUUCAAGCAUCUUUAAAAGGUGAGCUGGAGGCAAGCCAGCAGCAAGUAGAAGUCUAUAAAAUACAGCUGGCUGAAAUAACAUCAGAGAAGCACACAAUCCACGAGCACCUGAAAACCUCUGCAGAACAGCACCAGCGUACGCUAAGUGCGUACCAGCAGAGAGUGACAGCAGUACAGGAAGAGAGCUGUGCUGCCAAGGCAGAACAAGCUACUAUAACCUCUGAAUUCGAGAGCUACAAAGUCCGAGUUCAUAACGUUCUAAAACAACAGAAAAAUAAAUCUGUGUCUCAGGCUGAAACUGAGGGCGCUAAACAAGAAAGGGAACAUCUGGAAAUGCUGAUUGACCAGCUAAAAAUGAAAUUACAAGAUAGCCAAAAUAACUUACAGAUUAAUGUAUCUGAACUUCAAACAUUGCAGUCUGAACAUGAUACACUGCUAGAAAGGCACAAGAAGAUGCUGCAGGAAGCUGUGUCCAAAGAGGCGGAACUCCGGGAAAAGAACGUGACUGUACUCGAACCAAAAAGACAUCUGCUAGCAAUUUGCAGUCUCAGAGCGGCCCACAGUUUUAUGGAGCUUCAUCUGAAACUCUGAUUCAUUCUUGAAAAAGCUAAUGCAAGUGGGGGUGAGGGCAGCCAGCUCCUUGCUGGGGGAUCAGCAGAGGAGGAGUUGUUUCUGCCAGCCCGGGUUACAGUUCUGUGCUGUGUCUCCCAAGAGUUUCGCUCUUGUUGUCCAGGCUGGAGUGCAAUGGCACUAUCUUGGCCCACCGCAACCUCUGCCUCUGGAGUUCAGGCGAUUCCCCUGCCUUAGCCUCCCGAGUAGCUGGGACUGCAGGUGCACACCACCACGCCCAGCUAAUUUUUGUAUUUUUAGUAGAGACAGGGUUUCACCGUGUUGGCCAGGACAGUCUGGAUCUCUUGCUUUGUGAUCCGCCCGCCUCGGCCUCCAAAAGUGCUGGGAUUACGGGCGUGAGCCACCGUGCCCAGCCUCCUAACUCCUUAUAAACCAGAAAACAUUUCUUAGAACUCCCUCGCCAUUCCCUCUUAUUUUGCAUAUGGCCAGAAAUGGGCACAGACACGUCCCUAGAUAAAUCACUGCCCGGGGGAAUGGAGCCAUUAGAACUGGCUGAAAAUGCUGAGGUUUGCCUCUGAGCCUUAGAGGAGAUGUGUGGACACCAUGACAAAACUAGGGCUUUCCCAGCAGAGGAGAAAUUGGGGAGUGGUGGUGGCUGGCCAUGCGGCAUGUGCGUCACACCAAGUGACAUGCUCCAAUUUGCUUUGGAAGCUUUUCUGUUCUUGUUAAGGUACUGAUGGCCUCUCCCUGUUCCCCUUGCAGAUGAAGUGGGAGUGCCUCAGUCCCUGAUAUUUCCCCAGCCUCACAGGGACAUGCAGAGGCCACUGAUCGUGAUGUGAGAUCUGCCUUCAGUGGCUCCCUGUGGCCAACAGGCUGGGCUGCGUCAACUGUCGGGCACCAGCUUCGUCCUCUUCAACAUGCUCCGUGCAUCCUGACAGGGUGGUCUGUAAUUUCAGCCUCAGAGGUCAGGCUCCCAUGCCCUUCCGAGUGGAGUGCCUCGGCAGUGGGUUGUUAUUUCAGGACACAGAAUCAGUCUCAAUACUGGGGGCCAAGACUCUUCACAAAUGUGUCUCCCGGGGAAAGCUUUAUCCACCAGGACGCCCCAUGUGUUUGUGAAUCUGACCUGGGAAUCUCCCAUGAAAUGAGGUCCAUUUCAGUCAUAUCUGUUCUUAUGGUUUAAACUCCGGCUAACAUUUCUUUAUCUAGAGUGUGUGGAUGAGAUGAAGGCUGCAGGGCUUACAAUACAUAUCCAGCAACGCUAAGGCAUCUUGGAAUUUUGGUGGGAAAGGUGGUGCGAGCCAUCACGAUACUCAGAGCAAUUCUCCUGUCUUUUGAAAAAUAGAAUUUGCUUCCUGCCACAGCCCUAGGUGUCCUGAUCAGAUUAGAAGUACUCCAGUUUAUGUCCAGCCCAGAUUUUGAAAACUGAUCUGCUGUGACAAUCUCCUGGUUUUCUAAUUUGCAUGUCUCCCUGCUUCUACCCAAUGUGGUGAAGGCUGCUGCAACCAACCAGCCCCAUCCGAGGGAAGGCAGGGAAGGCGGAUGCAGGCCUGGGCAAGUGCUCUGCAAGCUUGCUUUCUUUGUGUCCUGGAUGAAGUGAGCGUCUCUCUUCUAAUCCAUGUAGACUCAGCAUUUAGGAAGAAGCAAGAGUCGAUUCUUUGUAACACAGGCUGAAAAUCUCCCAAUCCUUUGCUUCCUACCUUGUUUUUAUCUAUAAACUUGAUUUUCGUUUCCUCUGAAAAUUACCCAUCAAACCAAAUCCUUCUCCCUUAAUUCCUCCCUGCAUUUAACACGAUUCACCUUUGCCUGUGUGUUGUAGGAUAAACAGCCCGCUGCCCCAGUGAGAAGAGCAACAAACAGAAUAAUUAAAAAAAAACCAACUGACAAAUCUGAACAAGCUUUGGUGGUGAGGACCCGAUUAAUUACACUCGUCCACACCCAAGCUUGGCAGAAGGGGGUGCCCUGGGAAUGUCUGCAGAAGCCAACCCCAUGCCUGAGGGGUCAGGGGUCAGGGUUGACAGCCCUUCCCUGAAGCUGGAUGAGACCCAGCCCGGGAGUAACUCCAGCCUGAAAGAGAACUAAUUGAGGAAGCUUCUUCUAAAGGUAGUGACUGCUAUGUUCUGUCUGCUGGGUUCCCUUUAGAGUUCAUGGGAUACAUUCCAUCCAGUUGCAGGGCAAAGAGAGGGCCUUGGGGUAACCAUUAGUUCUAGGCAUGGAGACCUGGGCUUACAAGCAAGUGCUCAACUGGGUGCAGCCGAAAAGGGGAGAAAUCCCGGAAAUACAGGAUAGUCGAGUUCCUCCUGGGAACUUGGCAGUCAUGAUUUAGACAACAUGCACCUAAGAAUAUGCUGAUUUUACAAAUACCUCAACUAACUUGUGGUAGAAAUACCAGAUACCAUGUGGGUCCCCAGCUGCAGUACUAAUAGGCUAGGCUGCCUGUUGAAGCCAUCAAAAGUCACUUACACUGUGUAAUAUGGGAGACGCCAAAUGCUUAUUAGCCCCCCCACCCCAGUGUCCUUCCUCUUAACAGGACACAGUACCUCCAAUGCCUGAAUCUUUUAUUUAAAGGAGCUAAAAGUGAAGGAAGUCCACAAUUAAAACACAAAUAUGGGCUGGGUGUGGUGGCUCAUGCCUGUAAUCCCAGCACUUUGGGAGCCCAAGGCAGGAGAAUCUCUUGAGCCCAGGAGUUUGAGACCAGCCUAGUCCACAUAGCAAGACCCCAUCUCUGCAAAACAAACAAAAAAUACACAAAUAUGUUACACCAAAGGGCAUCACAGAACCCCAUAAUCAUCCAUUAAAGAUCACUGGAAAUGUUGUUUAUCUGAGGAGGCAGCUAGUCAUAGGAGGGACCUCUUGAAUAAGGGCCAGGAAUCUCCCAGUUUUGAAAGAAGGUUCUGGAACUCUCUGGUACUUUCUUUCUUUUUUUUUUUUUGAGACGGAGUCUUGCUCUGUCACCCAGGCUGGAGUGCAGUGGCGCAAUCACGGCUCAGUGCAACCUCUGCCUCCUGGGUUCAAGUGAUUCUCCUGCCUCAGCCUCCCGAGUAGCUAGGAUUAUAGGUAUGCACCACCAUGCCCAGCUAAUUUUUGUAUUUUUAGUAGAGAUGUUGUUUCGCCAUGUUGGCCAGGCUGGUCUUGAACUCCUGACCUCAGGUGAUCCACCUGCCUCGGCAUCCCAGAGUGCUGAGAUUACAGGCGUGAGCCACUGUGCCCAGUCUCUCUGGAACUUUCUGAUACUAUAUAAAAAGAGGCAGUAGGAGCAGUGAAUGGCCUUGUGCUGCCUGCUGAAAAAUGAACCCACGAAGGAAUGUGCGUUAAGGGUGUGGUGCUGGGCAGCUAUCUGGGAGAGGAACACGGCCAUUGGCUGAUUUCAGGUCCAGCACCCAGGGUUCACCUGAGGCAACUGGUCCAGACUCGAAGUUGUGUGCAUUUUCUAAACAGUGGUUGCAAAAUUGUCCCCAAAUUAUUCCCAUGUAAUUUUUUGAAAGUUAUUUGUUUCUUAUGAUUUUUGCAUUAAUACAUGAGAUGCAUUUGUAGUUUUCUUGGUUGAAGUGUGCCAUCUCAGGUUCUGAAAUCAAUGUUAUAUUUCAUAAAAUAAUUCAAGCAUAUUCCUUCUUUUCUACAUGCUAGAACAAUUUAUACAGAAUUGAGUGCUACCUGCUCUUUAAAGGUAUCUUAGAAUGUCCCUGUGACACUAGUUGGGCAUUUCUGAGGGAACUCUUUGGCAACUUUUUCUCUUUGUUAUAUGAGAAUCAGAAUGCUUUGAUUUUUUUUCUGUUUGGGAUCCAUUUUGCUAAAUUAUAUUUUCCAAGAAAAUUGUAUUUUUCAUCCAAGUUUUCAAAUUUUACUUUCAUGGAGUUAACCAAAGUAUUUCCUUAUGGUUGUUUUAAUUUAAUAUAGUUUCGUGGUUAUUUUUCUCUUAGUCUUUCUUAUUUUGUAUAUUUGCAUUUUCUACUUUUUUUUUUCUGUAUUAGGUUAGCUAGUGCUUUUCUAUUUUUUAAUUCUUUUCCCCAAAGAUUCAGUUUACUUCUUUUUUUUCUGUUUUCUAAUUCACUAAGUUAGAAAGUUCUGUUUUUAUUUUUAUUAAUUCAUUCUUUCUACAUUCCUUCAGUUUAUUUUAUUGUUCUUUUUCUAAGCUAGAUGCUUGGUUCGUUUGGUUUUUAUUUAUUGUUUAUUUAAGUAUUUAAACCUAUGAAUUUCUCUUCCACUACUACCUUAACACUAUCUCAUAGAUUCCAAGGUGUGGAAAAUGUAUUGUUUUUGUUAUUUUUAUUUUCUAGAAGUCCUGUGAUUUAGGUUAAUAUUAUAUUUUGAUCCAAGAGUUAAGAAGAAUUGCUUUAAAUUCAUAUAGGAUAAACUUUAAAAAUGUUCAGGUGAAAAGGAAUUUUUGUUAUCUGUUUUUAAAAAUUAAUUUAUCAUUUUAUUGCAUUGUGACCAAAGAAGGUUGCCUAUGCUAUUUCUACGUUCUGGAAUGUAUUGAGGUUUUUUUCGUGGCCUCAUAUGUGCUCAGUUUUCCUGAAUGUUCUAUUCUUGAAUAUUCUUGAAAUAAGAAUAUGCUCUAUGUGUAAAGAAUAUAUAUAUAUAUGAACUAUCAUGUUUAACAUAGAUUAUAUGAGAGUUCUAUAUUAUUGAUUUCAUUUUUAUUAAUUUGAUUUGUCAUAGUAUAGAGUCAGGAAUGAAACCAGCGUGAUUCUGUUUCUUUCUCCUUUUGUAUCCUGUAAUUCCAAGUUUAUGAGUGCCAUUGCAUUGUUAUUUGGUACUCAGUUAUUUAUAACUAUUAUAUCUUCACUGUGAAUCA